AGACCCGAAACCCGGUGAUCUAGCCAUGGGCAGGUUGAAGGUUGGGUAACACUAACUGGAGGACCGAACCGACUAAUGUUGAAAAAUUAGCGGAUGACCUGUGGCUGGGGGUGAAAGGCCAAUCAAACCGGGAGAUAGCUGGUUCUCCCCGAAAGCUAUUUAGGUAGCGCCUCGUGAAUUCAUCUCCGGGGGUAGAGCACUGUUUCGGCUAGGGGGCCAUCCCGGCUUACCAACCCGAUGCAAACUGCGAAUACCGGAGAAUGUUAUCACGGGAGACACACGGCGGGUGCUAACGUCCGUCGUGAAGAGGGAAACAACCCAGACCGCCAGCUAAGGUCCCAAAGUCAUGGUUAAGUGGGAAACGAUGUGGGAAGGCCCAGACAGCCAGGAUGUUGGCUUAGAAGCAGCCAUCAUUUAAAGAAAGCGUAAUAGCUCACUGGUCGAGUCGGCCUGCGCGGAAGAUGUAACGGGGCUAAACCAUGCACCGAAGCUGCGGCAGCGAACGUAUCACUUAAAGCGAUUCAGCGGGUUACGAUUGACGGAGCGAAGCGACGUCAAAGCGUAUACAAAGUCGAGUCGGUUUAAGGAUACGUUCGUUGGGUAGGGGAGCGUUCUGUAAGCCUGUGAAGGUGUGUCGUGAGGCAUGCUGGAGGUAUCAGAAGUGCGAAUGCUGACAUAAGUAACGAUAAAGCGGGUGAAAAGCCCGCUCGCCGGAAGACCAAGGGUUCCUGUCCAACGUUAAUCGGGGCAGGGUGAGUCGACCCCUAAGGCGAGGCCGAAAGGCGUAGUCGAUGGGAAACGGGUUAAUAUUCCCGUACUUGGUGUUACUGCGAAGGGGGGACGGAGAAGGCUAUGUUGGCCGGGCGACGGUUGUCCCGGUUUAAGCGUGUAGGUGUGUGUUCCAGGUAAAUCCGGUUCACUUUAACACUGAGGCGUGACGACGAGGCACUACGGUGCUGAAGCAACAAAUGCCCUGCUUCCAGGAAAAGCCUCUAAGCAUCAGGUAACAUCAAAUCGUACCCCAAACCGACACAGGUGGUCAGGUAGAGAAUACCAAGGCGCUUGAGAGAACUCGGGUGAAGGAACUAGGCAAAAUGGUGCCGUAACUUCGGGAGAAGGCACGCUGACACGUAGGUGAAGUGAUUUACUCAUGGAGCUGAAGUCAGUCGAAGAUACCAGCUGGCUGCAACUGUUUAUUAAAAACACAGCACUGUGCAAACACGAAAGUGGACGUAUACGGUGUGACGCCUGCCCGGUGCCGGAAGGUUAAUUGAUGGGGUCAGCGCAAGCGAAGCUCCUGAUCGAAGCCCCGGUAAACGGCGGCCGUAACUAUAACGGUCCUAAGGUAGCGAAAUUCCUUGUCGGGUAAGUUCCGACCUGCACGAAUGGCGUAAUGAUGGCCAGGCUGUCUCCACCCGAGACUCAGUGAAAUUGAACUCGCUGUGAAGAUGCAGUGUACCCGCGGCAAGACGGAAAGACCCCGUGAACCUUUACUAUAGCUUGACACUGAACAUUGAGCCUUGAUGUGUAGGAUAGGUGGGAGGCUUUGAAGUGUG
rnacentral:rRNA from 1 species